GACGUAGGGGGCGAGCGUUGUCCGGAUUUAUUGGGCGUAAAGAGCUCGUAGGUGGCUUGUCACGUCGGUUGUGAAAACCUGCAGCUUAACUGUGGGCCUGCAUUCGAUACGGGCAGACUAGAGUUCGGUAGGGGAGACUGGAAUUCCUGGUGUAGCGGUGAAAUGCGCAGAUAUCAGGAAGAACACCUAUGGCGAAGGCAGCUCUCUGGGACGGUACUGACGCUGAGACGCGAAAGCGUGGGGAGCGAACAGG
rnacentral:rRNA from 1 species